GGAGAAUCAAAGAAAAAUUUGGUAAGUGUAGACAUCUAAUGAAUUAUAUGCUUUCUAUCUGUCAGCGUUACAGUGACACUGUUCUACUUAUGAGAUCUCUUAUCUGUGUUCUCAUUUUUACUUUUUAAUUUUUUUGUUGAUUGAAUUAAAUAUCAUGAAGUUCUCGAUUGUUUAUAUUUUCAACCAUUUAAAUAUUGGUCUGGGUAGAUGCGUAAUAAUUUUCUCAUUUUAUUGUGGAGUCGUAUGAACUGUUCAAACAUCUUGAUUGGAUUUUGGGCACUGGUAUUCAUGUCCCCUGUCAUUCUCAAUGAACAUGAGUUUUAAGAAAUCGUUGUCAUCAUUUAUGUUUUUAUCCUCCAUUAUUAAAUUAAUGCUGGGAUGUAAUAACUCAUCAACUUUGUCAGGGUGAGCAUUGGAGAUCAAUUCUGCUUUCUUUUUGAAUAUUUAUGUGCUAGGAAACGGUAAAAUGUCUUUUCUUGAGAACGGUCCUUUGGGAAAUAAAUUUAUCUUUUGAUUAGUGUUAUAGAUCGUUUUUGCCCAGUUCUAGGUUUGGGUCCUUUUGAUGAUUAGACAUAUGAAUUUCAAUUCCAAGGUCAGAGGGGUAAAGGUCAAAAUACACUGAAUACAAUAAUAUUAUUGAUUACAGAACAGUAAUUCAAACAUGCUACUGUUAGAUUUGUGUCGUCUCUCAGUACACUAGUGUAUUUCAUGAUACUGAUACCUCGUAAAGGGUACAGGUUUGUGGCUAGCUUUUCAUGAUGUGUUUUCCUGGUGCUCUUUUUUCUCCCCCCCCCCUCCCCGUCUUCUUCUUCUUCCUCUCGUUCCCUCCCCUCCAUCAAAAUAGGUAUAUUUCCUACUCGAGUUUUGUAAUUUAAGCAAGAGCCUGCAGAUGGU
rnacentral:misc_RNA from 1 species